rnacentral:tRNA from 1 species
AGGGUGCAGCUCAGUGGUGAAGCAUGUGCAUAGUAUGCACAAGGUCCUGGGUUCAAUCCCCAGUACUUCUA